UCCACCGAGAACCGAUUCCUCUCUGGAAGCUGGGCAGCAGCCGGGCACUGGCACCUCCCCCGGGAGGCAGGCCAAGGCCACCCUUGGGAGCCCAGUUGUAGCCUGCGGAGACCUGGCUCCCCUCACUAUGCCCGACAUCACUGGAAAUAUGUAGUGAAUUCUCAUUAAAGGCAACACCCUCCUAUAUUCUCAGAAUCUCUGGAGGUGUGUGAAUAAAAUAAUAUGACAGAACUAUGAAGGAGGAAGAGAUGGAGGAAGGAGGAAGAGAUGCCAUGUAAGAAGCUACUUCAGCAAUGAGCUACUUGAAGACAAAGAAGGUCCAAAUCAGGCAGUUAGCAA